rnacentral:rRNA from 1 species
GGGAAACCGAGUCUUAACCGGGCGUUAAGUUGCAGGGUAUAGACCCGAAACCCGGUGAUCUAGCCAUGGGCAGGUUGAAGGUUGGGUAACACUAACUGGAGGACCGAACCGACUAAUGUUGAAAAAUUAGCGGAUGACCUGUGGCUGGGGGUGAAAGGCCAAUCAAACCGGGAGAUAGCUGGUUCUCCCCGAAAGCUAUUUAGGUAGCGCCUCGUGAAUUCAUCUCCGGGGGUAGAGCACUGUUUCGGCUAGGGGGCCAUCCCGGCUUACCAACCCGAUGCAAACUGCGAAUACCGGAGAAUGUUAUCACGGGAGACACACGGCGGGUGCUAACGUCCGUCGUGAAGAGGGAAACAACCCAGACCGCCAGCUAAGGUCCCAAAGUCAUGGUUAAGUGGGAAACGAUGUGGGAAGGCCCAGACAGCCAGGAUGUUGGCUUAGAAGCAGCCAUCAUUUAAAGAAAGCGUAAUAGCUCACUGGUCGAGUCGGCCUGCGCGGAAGAUGUAACGGGGCUAAACCAUGCACCGAAGCUGCGGCAGCGACACUCAGGUGUUGUUGGGUAGGGGAGCGUUCUGUAAGCCUGCGAAGGUGUGUCGUGAGGC